GUCGAUUCAUUGCGUAGGUCCCAUCACACGUGUCAGUACUUUAUCCACCCCUCCACCACCACGCUUCUUCUAUGAUCUUAUCCAUACCGUUAAUCCCCCCCCCCCACCCCAACCUUAACCCCACCACCCCCAAAUUAAAAUUUCUAGGGUUUUCUUUCUUUCUCCAUUUCACAAACCUCUUCCCAAAUUCAUGGCAUUUCUACCCAGCUCCCCGAACCAAAUUUGAGCUACUGAAGACGAAGAAGAAGAAGAAUGGAGCUUGACGACGACGCCGGAGGCGGAGGCGGGAGCUCUUCCGACAUCAGCACCACCCACGGCGAGGAGGUGUUCAGGAUAUCAACCAUCGGCG
rnacentral:lncRNA from 1 species